CAAUAGCGUAUAUUAACGUUGUUGCAGUUAAAAAGCUCGUAGUUGGAUUUCUGGUUGAAGCGACCGGUCGGGCGUUGAUUCGUCUGCACUGGAGUCGGUUUUGGCCAUCCUCUAGGAAAGUGCGUCUGGUAUUAAGUUAUCGGGCGUAUGAUCCUGGUCUUUUACUGUGAAAAAAUUAGAGUGUUUAAAGCAGGCCUUCGCCUUGAAUACAUUAGCAUGGAAUAAUAAGAUAGGACUUUGGUCUAUUUUGUUGGUUUGCAGACCGAAGUAAUGAUUAAUAGGGAUAGUUGGGGGUAUUUAUAUUCCGAUGUCAGAGGUGAAAUUCUUAGAUUUUCGGAAGAUAAACUUAUGCGAAAGCAUUUACCAAGGAUGUUUNCAUUAA
rnacentral:rRNA from 1 species